rnacentral:rRNA from 1 species
UGGGGAAUCUUGCACAAUGGGGGAAACCCUGAUGCAGCGACGCCGCGUGAGCGAAGAAGCCUUUCGGGGUGUAAAGCUCUUACGCCAGGGACGAUAAUGACAGUACCUGGAGAAGCAGCUGCGGCUAACUACGUGCCAGCAGCCGCGGUAAUACGUAGGCAGCAAGCGUUGUUCGGAAUUACUGGGCGUAAAGGGUGCGUAGGCGGCGCUUUAAGUUUGGUGUGAAAUCUCCCGGCUCAACCGGGAGGGUGCACUGAAAACUGGGGCGCUCGAGUAUGGGAGAGGAAAGCGGAAUUCCUGGUGUAGCGGUGAAAUGCGUAGAGAUCAGGAGGAACACCCGCGGUGUAGACGGCUUUCUGGACCAUGACUGACGCUGAGGCACGAAAGCGUGGGGAGCAAACA